GACGAACGCUGGCGGCGUGCUUAACACAUGCAAGUCGAACGAAGUGGCGAACGGGUGAGUAACGCGUAAUCAACCUGCCCUUCAGAGGGGGACAACAGUUGGAAACGACUGCUAAUACCGCAUACUGAAGGAGGGGAUUGCGUUGGGUUAGCUAGUUGGAGGGGUAACGGCCCACCAAGGCGAGGAUCAGUAGCCGGAUGGAGAGGAUGAGCGGCCAAAGUGGGACUGGGACACGGCCCAGACUCCUUCGGGAGGCAGCAGUGGGGAAUCUUCCGCAAUGGGCGAAAGGCUGACGGAGCAACGCCGCGUGAGUGAUGACGGCCUUCGGGUUGUAAAUCUCUGUUAAUCGGGACGCGGUACCGGAAUAGAAAGCCACGGCUAACUACGUGCCAGCAGCCGCGGUAAUAC
rnacentral:rRNA from 1 species